rnacentral:rRNA from 1 species
AUUGAACGCUGGCGGCAGGCCUAACACAUGCAAGUCGAACGAGUGGCGGACGGGUGAGUCAUGUCUGGGAAACUGCCCGAUGGAGGGGGAUAACUACGGGAAACGGUAGCUAAUACCGCAUACCAUCGGAUGUGCCAAGAUGGGAUUAGCUAUUAGGAGGGGUAACGGUUAACCUCGGCGACGAUCCCUAGCUGGUCUGAGCGGAUGACCAGCCACACUGGAACUGAGACACGGGCCAGACUCCUACGGUAGGCAGCAGUGGGGAAUAUUGCACAAUGGGCGCAAGCCUGAUGCAGCCAUGCCGCGUGUAUGAAGAAGGCCUUCGGGUUGUAAAGUACUUUCAGCGAGGAGGCGUUACUCGCAGAAGAAGCACCGGCUAACUCCGUGCCAGCAGCCGCGGUAAUAC